GACGAACGCUGGCGGCGUGCCUAAUACAUGCAAGUCGAGCGGGCCUCCGGAGGUGCUUGCACCUCCGGAAGGCCAGCGGCGGACGGGUGAGUAACACGUGGGCAACCUGCCUUUGAGGCCGGGAUAACACCGGGAAACCGGUGCUAAUACCGGAUGCGUCCCCUUUCGCGCCUGCGAGAGGGGAGAAAGACGGUCUUUAAGGCCGUCGCUCAAAGAGGGGCCCGCGGCGCAUUAGCUGGUUGGGGGGGUAAGGGCCUACCAAGGCGACGAUGCGUUGCCGACCUGGGAGGGUGAUCGGCCACACUGGGACUGAGACACGGCCCAGACUCCUGCGGGAGGCAGCAGUAGGGAAUCAUCCGCAAUGGGCGAAAGCCUGACGGUGCAACGCCGCGUGAGUGAGGAAGGUUUUCGGAUCGUAAAGCUCUGUUGUGAGGGAAGAACAGCUUCCGGAGGAAAUGCCGGAGGUUUGCCGGUACCUCACCAGAAAGCCCCGGCUAACUACGUGCCAGCCGCCGCAGUAA
rnacentral:rRNA from 1 species